rnacentral:tRNA from 1 species
GCCCGGCUGGCUCAGUCGGUAGAGCAGGCAACUCCUGAUCUUAGGGUCGUGAGUUCAAGCCCCACGUUGGGCA